rnacentral:misc_RNA from 1 species
GAUGAAGAACGUAGCGAAAUGCGAUAAGUAAUGUGAAUUGCAGAAUUCAGUGAAUCAUCGAAUCUUUGAACGCACAUUGCGCCCGCCAGUAUUCUGGCGGGCAUGCCUGUUCGAGCGUCAUUUCAACCAUCAAGCCCCCGGCUUGUGUUGGGGACCUGCGGCUGCCGCAGGCCCUGAAAACCAGUGGCGGGCUCACUAGUCACUCCGAGCGUAGUAAUACAUCUCGCUCAGGGCGUGCUGCGGGUUCCGGCCGUUAAAAAGCCUUAUUUACCCAAGGUUGACCUCGGAUCAGGUAGGAAGACCCGCUGAACUUAAGCAUAUCAAUAAGCGGAGGA